rnacentral:lncRNA from 1 species
UCCAAGUUGCUAUCAAUAUUUUAAUGUAAUUUUCAAGAACAUAAAUUAAAACUUUUCACUAUGUGUUUUACAUACAUUAUCUCUUUGAUUCAAACCUAGUUAGGUCCAAUUUCUGAAACUUACUAAAUUACAUUUGGAAUGCAAUGUAAAACACAUCUGCUUUUGAUAUUCUGCCCUGUGGCUCACUCAGCACCAAUAGAGGGAACCUAGCACCUAAUUAGACAUUAAACAGUAGGAAGCCUAGAAUGAGCUACUCCAGAGACGAUCUCCUCAUGGGUGAGUAUAUAUUAAGUAAGAUUGUUGUGUGAGAUUAUAAGCCAGUCCACUCCUGAAAAAACAAUUCAUUUGCUUAUUUUCUAACUGUAAGUUGUCGGCUUUAUUAAUGGGAAGUUUUAUUGCAGUUGGGUUUUGUUUGAGGAUUUCUGGAAAGGAUAUAAAAAUAGAAACUUACAGUAGUCAAGUUUCUCAACAUCACAUUAGUUCUAUUUGAUUCUUGAUAUUGUCUACACAAAAAUAAACUAUAGCUUAAAUGUUUUUCAGUUAAUUGGCAAAGAAUUUUAAAUAAGCACCCUGAAUUGCUGCAAUAAAUGUCUAGAAAACUGUAUUCUGGAAAUACAAAAUUUUCUUUGGGGUGUGAAUAUAUGUUCUUCAGUUUGCCUGGGACAUCUGUGACCCUACUUAAAAUGAUUCUUACACUAAUUCUUGGUCUUUUUCUUUCUUUGUAUUUUUUGUGACCCGAUCACCUUCUUGCUUAGCAAAUGGAAAUUCUAGCAGUAAGUGACCUGUCUUGAUUUAUAGACUACUUACCCUUGCCAGACAAACUGGUUUUCAUCUGCCAUUGUCCUUUUGUGACCUAGUAAUGUUUUGUCAUGGACUACUUUAAAAGUAGUGUGUGCUUCAAUUUUGAUAGCCUUAAUCCAUGAAAUGUUGAUUGAAUAAAAUGAGAUUUUAUAAUAUGUAUGUACAACUAGCAGUUGCCUUUUUC